UACGUAGGGGGCAAGCGUUGUCCGGAUUUAUUGGGCGUAAAGAGCGUGUAGGCGGCUAAAUAGGUCCGUUGUGAAAACUCGAGGCUCAACCUCGAGAUGCCGAUGGAAACCAUUUGGCUAGAGUCCGGAAGAGGAGAGUGGAAUUCCCGGUGUAGCGGUGAAAUGCGCAGAUAUCGGGAGGAACACCGGUGGCGAAGGCGGCCUUCUGGACGGAUACUGACGCUGAGACGCGAAAGCGUGGGGAGCAAACAGG
rnacentral:rRNA from 1 species